rnacentral:rRNA from 1 species
GGAUUGUAAACUCCUGUUGUUGGGGAAGAUAAUGACGGUACCCAACAAGGAAGUGACGGCUAACUACGUGCCAGCAGCCGCGGUAAAACGUAGGUCACAAGCGUUGUCCGGAAUUACUGGGUGUAAAGGGAGCGCAGGCGGGAAGACAAGUUGGAAGUGAAAUCUAUGGGCUCAACCCAUAAACUGCUUUCAAAACUGUUUUUCUUGAGUAGUGCAGAGGUAGGCGGAAUUCCCGGUGUAGCGGUGGAAUGCGUAGAUAUCGGGAGGAACACCAGUGGCGAAGGCGGCCUACUGGGCACCAACUGACGCUGAGGCUCGAAAGUGUGGGUAGCAAACAGGAUUAGAUACCAUGGUAGUCCACACCGUAAACGAUGAUUACUAGGUGUUGGAGGAUUGACCCCUUCAGUGCCGCAGUUAACACAAUAAGUAAUCCACCUGGGGAGUA